AGGAUUAUAAUUUAAAAUAAAAUAUUUGAUUUGCAAUCAAAAAAUAUUGAAAAAUCAAUUUAUCUUA
rnacentral:tRNA from 5 species